AUACCUACGGGACGCAGCAGUGAGGAAUACUGGUCAAUGGCCGAAGGGCUGAACCAGCCAAGCCGCGUGAAGGAAUAAGGCCCUACGGGUCGUAAACUUCUUUAGUCAGGGAACAAAGGGAGCCACGCGUGGCGCUGUGAGUGUACCUGAAGAAUAAGCAUCGGCUAACUCCGUGCCAGCAGCCGCGGUAAUACGGAGGAUGCGAGCGUUAUCCGGAUUUAUUGGGUUUAAAGGGUGCGCAGGCGGAAGCGCAAGUCAUCGGUAAAAUUGAGAGGCUCAACCUCUUCCCGCCG
rnacentral:rRNA from 1 species